rnacentral:rRNA from 1 species
CUUUUUGAAGAGGGAAAAGCCCAAAUUUGUAAUCUGGCUCUUUUAUAAGGGUCCGAGUUGUAAUUUUGAGAACUGUUUUCCGUGCUGGACCAUGUACAAGUCUGUUGAAAAACAGCAUCAUUGAGGGUGAUAAUCCCGUACAUGAUAUGGACUACCAGGGCAAUGUGAUACAGUCUCUAAGAGUCGAGUUGUUUGGGAAUGCAGCUCAAAGUGGGUGGUAAAUUCCAUCUAAGGCUAAAUAUAGGUGAGAGACCGAUAGCAAACAAGUACCGUGAGGGAAAGAUGAAAAGAACUUUGGAAAGAGAGUUAACAGUACGUGAAAUUGUUAAAAGGGAAACAUUUGAAGUUAGACUUGUUAUUGUUGGUUCAGCUCUUUUUAUAAGGGUGUAUUCCAAUGGUUAACAGACCAGCAUCAAUUUUUGGGUGUUAGAUAAGGGUCUUGAGAAUGUAGCAACCUCGGUUGUGUUAUAGAUCUUGACUUGAUAUAAUGCUUAGGAUUGAGGAACGCAGUGAGCUUCUUUUGAAGUGGAUCCUCUUGGGGAUCUCAUCACUACGGGGUUUUG